rnacentral:lncRNA from 1 species
AUAAACUAAAACAACUAAGAUAUUAUUAUUAAAAAAUAAAGUAAAUCAUAAUUAUACACAUAGAAACACAAUGACAAAGAAAACUUCUGGGGAAAAUUUAACACUUUGCGUCUACCAACUUGUUCCUCCUGUGAACUUAAGAAGAAAGGAAGGAACAAAGAAAUUUAUUAUCCACCUAUGUAAUGGAAGCAAAAGAAACAGCCAUCAAAAGUAGGAAAAGAGGUUAACAUUGUAGACUUGAAAUAUAUGUGGAAAACAUACUAGAACUGAAAAGAUGGAAGUUCUUCAUGAAUUAGCAAUUUGUGAGUAGUAGAAAUGAAUUCCUAGGAAAUGAGAAGCCAUGAGGCCAAUCAACAACUGCUUCUGAUUUCAAGCAUUAUAAUGAAUGAUAACAAACUUAGGUGGUGUUUGUUUUUUGUACUUAAUUCUAAAUAGAACUUUAAUGUUUAAUAAUGUGAAGUAUUAGAUUGUUUGUUUUUUUAAUAUUUUAUUUCUAUUAAAUAUUAAAAAGUAAAGAAAAACCAACACAAUAUUUUUUCUAUUUAGAAAAAGUCAAAUAUUUUGGUUUUUUCUAUUCAGCAAAAAGUUUAUAAUAAGUUAUGAAAAAAUAGAAAAACAAACAACCGAAAGUCUAAAAGCAAAUUGCUUUUAGCAAAAAGCUGAAAAAACAAACACCCUCUUAGUGAUGUGAAGUACCAUUCUAGUAUGUCAAAGUCAGCAGCCAAUCAAGUAGAGUCCUAAGGUGUUAGAUUUCCAGAGCAUUGACAUGCUGAAGUCUUUGAGAGAAGCAUCAACUUUGGACUAGGUCAAGUACUCAAAAUUGCAUGUUACCUUCAUUCUUGUUCUCUAACAAGGGAAUCUCUCAGCAACAAAAAAUUCUAGAAGUUUUCAAGUCACAUGUGAGACAGAUUUCUGCCAUCACUAAAAACUGGAUAUCUAGACUCCAUAUAAAUAGGCAAUGACAUGUCAUGCUUACCACAAUUAAGAAAAAUUGAGGUGUUGGAAACCCUUUUCUGGAAGAGAUGUUAUACAAAAUCAAAAUCCUGAUCAAGACAUGGAUACCAAAUGUUGGUGCUGUUACAUGCUCUGCUAGUGAUACUACCCUUCAACCAUGUCUCUUGAAGCUUCUUCAGCAUGAAUUUCUCCAUCAUGGCUGGAAUAGGAAGAAUGGUCCAACUAAUUCUUCUUGUUUGCUGCUUUUCCUAAACCAGUUUGUCUCUCAAUGAAAAUGAAGAAGACAUGACCCUGUUAUCCAUGUGCUCCAGACGGUUUAGAUUCCCAAGGUCAAGAGACUUGAGAGAAGAGAAUUGACCAACUGUUAGAUGGAUUCGGUAAAAUUUGCUUCUUGCUCAAGUGGUAUGUUGUGGUUCUACUGCAAAUGAGAAUCAAACAUCAAAACUCCAAGCAAGGUAUAACAUCACUUUUAAACAUGUUAAAUAAGAGAGAAUAAAUGAUCAAAAGAAAAAGGAGAGAAAUGAAGGUAAACCUGAAUAACAAACACUUGUUAUUGGUGGACUGCAAAGCCUAAAGAAAAUGUAUGCUGAAAGCAUGAUGCCAUAUUUGAGGAGACAAUUUUCAAACUUCACUAAUCUAAGUAUGUUGUAGAACAAGUUAAGUGAAAAGAAAAAUGAAACAAUUACUUUGUUCAACAGCUACCCUUUAACAUAAUUACAAGCAUGAUCUGUAACCUAUUCGCCAAAUUAUAAUUCAUAACGCCAGAGAUGACUAACAUAAUAAGAAGUGUUUUUGUCUAUUUUGUGUUUUGGUUAAUUAGAGUGAUAUCUUCAAAAUUAACAAAAAGCACAGUUUAUUGUCAAACAGAAAUAUAAACUACUUUAUAAGACUCUUCACAGUUCAGUAUUGUGAAACCAGAAAGAUAUUAUGGAUAUCAUAAUAAAUUGAUAUUUUGACAGACAGCAAGACCACUGCAGAUUUGUAUUCAUAGGUUGUAUAUGUGCACACAGAACAGAGUAUAGCACUCUUAGCUUAAUAACCAUCGUAAAAUAACAAGAAACGAAGCAAUUAGAAGCUGGAGGAUAGAUUGGAUUGCAAACCUGAAAUAUAUUGUGAAUGAGACCAUUGAAGAGCAGGCAUCCUUCUGAUGGCUCCUCAAUAUCAAUUUUAGGAACAUGUAAAAUCUUAGGCCAAUUUUCACAUGUUUCCUUUUAGCACAUUUCUGGUUAGUACCGACAACCAUAGAUUAUCAGUUUCUGUAAAGGGUUGAUUGAACACAUCCCUUGGAACUGAUUUUAAUUUGAGGCAUUGAAAAUGAUGUAGUGCUUCCUACCAUCUGGCAAAGCUACUAGACCAGAAUAACUGAGAGAGUUUCCAGAGAGGUAACAUGUUGAAUCUCCCUUGGGAGACAGACAACUUUGGAAUUGAAACAAUUUCCACGUAUUGUGCACAAGCUUCUAAGUCCUUGAAAUUUCUUGACAGUGUCAUCAUCAUCCUCAUUAUCUGAAAAACCAAGCUUCCUGCUUGACACAAAUAGGCCAUGACAAUCCAUGAUUGACAAAUUGUUGAGACAAGUGAGGGAUCACAGUCCUUCCUCAGGCUGAGAUAUUAGACCACCUCUUCCACAAAUAUCCAGCAUCUGCAAUGAAGAAGAGGCAAACAUUGUUGGCCACAAUAGCUCUUUAUGGACAUCACAAAGGUAUAGCCCCUCAAGACAAGGAAAUGAAGACAGACAAUGGAUGUCAAUCUGAAUGAGAAAGAGAAGAAGAUGAAGACAUUGUCAAGGAUGUCAAGUUAUGGCAAUCAUUGAUCUCUCAUUCUGAAAGACUAAGUUAUGUGAUAUGUCUCUCCUCCACCUUCCUUCCAAUUCAGCAACUCAAAAAUUUGGAGUCCUUUAAAAGAAGGGAAGAAUGGCAUUGCUGAUGAAGACUCCUUCAUAUACUCCAGCUCAGUUAGAUUGCCUAGCUCAGUUAGAAAAUGAAUAAGAGAUAAACGAUCAAGAACAGAAGGAUGAAUGAAAUUGUAAAAUGAAUCUAGUAUGCCCAAGUCAGAAAAUUAGCAUGGUCCUAAAGUGUUAGAUUUUCGAUGCAGUAAUAUGCUGAGGUCCUUGGGAGGGGUACUAACCUUGGAUAAGGGGAAUACAUAUUUG